GGAGGAGGUGGGAAGUCGAUGCGGAGACCGACUUCGAGGGGGAUCGUGAGAGCGCGGGGCUCCGCAAAAAGGGGAUAAGAGCCUAAGAGGAUUUUGAAAGCAGACUCAAGAAGAUGGAAAAGGCAAGAAAAUGAAUUCUCCCUUGGAGCCUCCAUAAAGGAACAGAGCUCUGAUGAUGCCUUAAUCUAAGCCAACUGACAUUCAUUUAGGACUUCUGAACUACAGAACUGUAAAAUAAUAAAUGUGUAUUGUUUUAAGCUAC